UGAGGACAUUAAGGUAGCAUAAUCAAUUGUUUAAUAAAUUUAAACUAGGAAUGAAAGGAGUAAAGGAAGUUUACUAUUAAUAUGUAAUUAACAGAAAUUAUAACUAGGGUGAAAAUUCCCUACAGCAAUCUUAAAACGAGAAGACCCUAGAAACUAAUAAUCAUAACCUUUUUUGGGAUAAAACCUUAAAACAAAAGAAUCAACACCCCUUAAAACAAAAUAGUUACUCUAGGGAUAACAGCACAAUAAAAGUCAAGAGAACUCAUCUACCCUUUAGAUUGUGACCUCGAUGUUGAAUCAAGAAUUACCGGUUGCAGAAGACCAGCAAGUUUCGUCUGUUCGACGAUACAUAAAUACGUGAUUUGAGUUUAAACCGUCGUAAGACAGGUUGGAUUCUCUUUAAGACUGCAACAUUCAACCAUUAUAAGUACGAAAGGACCAUUGU
rnacentral:rRNA from 4 species